GGUAGUGUAAUGGACUACCUAGGCGACGAUCAGUAGCUGGUCUGAGAGGACGAUCAGCCACACUGGGACUGAGACACGGCCCAGACUCCUACGGGAGGCAGCAGUGGGGAAUUUUCCGCAAUGGGCGAAAGCCUGACGGAGCAAUACCGCGUGAGGGAGGAAGGCUCUUGGGUCGUAAACCUCUUUUCUCAGGGAAGAACACAAUGACGGUACCUGAGGAAUAAGCAUCGGCUAACUCCGUGCCAGCAGCCGCGGUAAUACGGAGGAUGCAAGCGUUAUCCGGAAUGAUUGGGCGUAAAGCGUCCGCAGGUGGCUAUGUAAGUCUGCUGUUAAAGAGUCUAGCUCAACUAGAUAMRAGCAGUGGAAACUACAUGGCUAGAGUGCGUUCGGGGCAGAGGGAAUUCCUGGUGUAGCGGUGAAAUGCGUAGAGAUCAGGAAGAACACCGGUGGCGAAGGCGCUCUGCUAGGCCGCAACUGACACUGAGGGACGAAAGCUAGGGGAGCGAAUGGGAUUAGAUACCCCAGUAGUCCUAGCCGUAAACGAUGGAUACUAGGCGUGGCUUGUAUCGACCCGAGCCGUGCCGUAGCUAACGCGUUAAGUAUCCCGCCUGGGGAGUACGCCGGCAACG
rnacentral:rRNA from 1 species